rnacentral:rRNA from 1 species
CUACGGGGCGCUCCAGUGGGGAAUUUUGCGCAAUGGGCGAAAGCCUGACGCAGCAAUACCGCGUGAGUGAAGAAGGCCUUUGGGUCGUAAAGCUCUUUUCUGGGGGAAGAUAGUGACGGUACCCCAGGAAUAAGCACCGGCUAACUCCGUGCCAGCAGCCGCGGUAAUACGGAGGGUGCAAGCGUUGUUCGGAUUUACUGGGCGUAAAGGGCACGUAGGCGGCACAGCAAGUUAAGGGUGAAAUCCCGGGGCUCAACUCCGGAACUGCUCUUAAAACUGCUGAGCUAGAGAUAGUCAGAGGCGGGUGGAAUUCCUGGUGUAGAGGUGAAAUUCGUAGAUAUCAGGAGGAACACCGGUGGCGAAGGCGGCCCGCUGGGGCUAUUCUGACGCUAAGGUGCGAAAGCGUGGGGAGCGAACGGGAUUAGAUACCCCUGUAGUC